rnacentral:tRNA from 1 species
GGACUCAUAGCUCAGCUGGUUAGAGCGCAUCCUUGACAUGGAUGAGGUCAGAGGUUCGAUCCCUCUUGAGUCCACCA